CACGUAGGGGGCGAGCGUUGUCCGGAUUCAUUGGGCGUAAAGAGCUCGUAGGCGGCUCGGUAAGUCGGGUGUGAAAUCUUCAGGCUCAACCUGGGGAGGCCACUCGAUACUGCCGUGGCUAGAGUCCAGUAGGGGAGUGUGGAAUUCUCGGUGUAGCGGUGAAAUGCGCAGAUAUCGGGAGGAACACCGGCGGCGAAGGCGGCACUCUGGGCUGGUACUGACGCUGAGGAGCGAAAGCGUGGGUAGCAAACAGGAUUAGAAACCCCCGUAGUCC
rnacentral:rRNA from 1 species